UGGAACCCAGAUCUUUAAAUCUCC
rnacentral:piRNA from 1 species